rnacentral:rRNA from 1 species
AGUAACGCGUAGGAAUCUACCUAAUAGUGGGGGAUAGCCCAGGGAAACUUGGAUUAAUACCGCAUACGCCCUAAGGGGGAAAGCGGGGGAUCUUCGGACCUCGUGCUAUUAGAUGAGCCUGCGUAAGAUUAGCUAGUUGGUGAGGUAAGAGCUCACCAAGGCGACGAUCUUUAGCUGGUCUGAGAGGAUGAUCAGCCACACUGGGACUGAGACACGGCCCAGACUCCUACGGGAGGCAGCAGUGGGGAAUAUUGGACAAUGGGCGAAAGCCUGAUCCAGCAAUGCCGCGUGUGUGAAGAAGGCUUGCGGGUUGUAAAGCACUUUCAGUUGGGAAGAUGAUGACGUUACCAACAGAAGAAGCACCGGCUAAAUCCGUGCCAGCAGCCGCGGUAAUACGGAUGGUGCGAGCGUUAAUCGGAAUUACUGGGCGUAAAGCGCGCGUAGGCGGCUAAGUCAGUCAGAAGUGAAAGCCCCGGGCUCAACCUGGGAAUUGCUUUUGAUACUGCUUAGCUAGAGUUUGGUAGAGGAUAGUGGAAUUCCAGGUGUAGCGGUGAAAUGCGUAGAUAUCUGGAGGAACAUCAGUGGCGAAGGCGACUGUCUGGACCAAAACUGACGCUGAGGUGCGAAAGCGUGGGUAGCAAACAGGAUUAGAUACCCUGGUAG